GGGUUGUGAGGUUAAGCGACUAAGCGUACACGGUGGAUGCCCUGGCAGUCAGAGGCGAUGAAGGACGUGCUAAUCUGCGAUAAGCGUCGGUAAGGUGAUAUGAACCGUUAUAACCGGCGAUUUCCGAAUGGGGAAACCCAGUGUGUUUCGACACACUAUCAUUAACUGAAUCCAUAGGUUAAUGAGGCGAACCGGGGGAACUGAAACAUCUAAGUACCCCGAGGAAAAGAAAUCAACCGAGAUUCCCCCAGUAGCGGCGAGCGAACGGGGAGCAGCCCAGAGCCUGAAUCAGUGUGUGUGUUAGUGGAAGCGUCUGGAAAGGCGCGCGAUACAGGGUGACAGCCCCGUACACAAAAAUGCACAUGCUGUGAGCUCGAUGAGUAGGGCGGGACACGUGGUAUCCUGUCUGAAUAUGGGGGGACCAUCCUCCAAGGCUAAAUACUCCUGACUGACCGAUAGUGAACCAGUACCGUGAGGGAAAGGCGAAAAGAACCCCGGCGAGGGGAGUGAAAAAGAACCUGAAACCGUGUACGUACAAGCAGUGGGAGCCUCUUUUAUGGGGUGACUGCGUACCUUUUGUAUAAUGGGUCAGCGACUUAUAUUCUGUAGCAAGGUUAACCGAAUAGGGGAGCCGAAGGGAAACCGAGUCUUAACUGGGCGUUAAGUUGCAGGGUAUAGACCCGAAACCCGGUGAUCUAGCCAUGGGCAGGUUGAAGGUUGGGUAACACUAACUGGAGGACCGAACCGACUAAUGUUGAAAAAUUAGCGGAUGACUUGUGGCUGGGGGUGAAAGGCCAAUCAAACCGGGAGAUAGCUGGUUCUCCCCGAAAGCUAUUUAGGUAGCGCCUCGUGAAUUCAUCUCCGGGGGUAGAGCACUGUUUCGGCAAGGGGGUCAUCCCGACUUACCAACCCGAUGCAAACUGCGAAUACCGGAGAAUGUUAUCACGGGAGACACACGGCGGGUGCUAACGUCCGUCGUGAAGAGGGAAACAACCCAGACCGCCAGCUAAGGUCCCAAAGUCAUGGUUAAGUGGGAAACGAUGUGGGAAGGCCCAGACAGCCAGGAUGUUGGCUUAGAAGCAGCCAUCAUUUAAAGAAAGCGUAAUAGCUCACUGGUCGAGUCGGCCUGCGCGGAAGAUGUAACGGGGCUAAACCAUGCACCGAAGCUGCGGCAGCGACACUGUGUGUUGUUGGGUAGGGGAGCGUUCUGUAAGCCUGCGAAGGUGUACUGUGAGGUAUGCUGGAGGUAUCAGAAGUGCGAAUGCUGACAUAAGUAACGAUAAAGCGGGUGAAAAGCCCGCUCGCCGGAAGACCAAGGGUUCCUGUCCAACGUUAAUCGGGGCAGGGUGAGUCGACCCCUAAGGCGAGGCCGAAAGGCGUAGUCGAUGGGAAACAGGUUAAUAUUCCUGUACUUGGUGUUACUGCGAAGGGGGGACGGAGAAGGCUAUGUUGGCCGGGCGACGGUUGUCCCGGUUUAAGCGUGUAGGCUGGUUUUCCAGGCAAAUCCGGAAAAUCAAGGCUGAGGCGUGAUGACGAGGCACUACGGUGCUGAAGCAACAAAUGCCCUGCUUCCAGGAAAAGCCUCUAAGCAUCAGGUAACAUCAAAUCGUACCCCAAACCGACACAGGUGGUCAGGUAGAGAAUACCAAGGCGCUUGAGAGAACUCGGGUGAAGGAACUAGGCAAAAUGGUGCCGUAACUUCGGGAGAAGGCACGCUGAUAUGUAGGUGAAGUCCCUCGCGGAUGGAGCUGAAAUCAGUCGAAGAUACCAGCUGGCUGCAACUGUUUAUUAAAAACACAGCACUGUGCAAACACGAAAGUGGACGUAUACGGUGUGACGCCUGCCCGGUGCCGGAAGGUUAAUUGAUGGGGUCAGCGCAAGCGAAGCUCUUGAUCGAAGCCCCGGUAAACGGCGGCCGUAACUAUAACGGUCCUAAGGUAGCGAAAUUCCUUGUCGGGUAAGUUCCGACCUGCACGAAUGGCGUAAUGAUGGCCAGGCUGUCUCCACCCGAGACUCAGUGAAAUUGAACUCGCUGUGAAGAUGCAGUGUACCCGCGGCAAGACGGAAAGACCCCGUGAACCUUUACUAUAGCUUGACACUGAACAUUGAGCCUUGAUGUGUAGGAUAGGUGGGAGGCUUAGAAGUGUGGACGCCAGUCUGCAUGGAGCCGACCUUGAAAUACCACCCUUUAAUGUUUGAUGUUCUAACGUUGACCCGUGAUCCGGGUUGCGGACAGUGUCUGGUGGGUAGUUUGACUGGGGCGGUCUCCUCCUAAAGAGUAACGGAGGAGCACGAAGGUUGGCUAAUCCUGGUCGGACAUCAGGAGGUUAGUGCAAUGGCAUAAGCCAGCUUGACUGCGAGCGUGACGGCGCGAGCAGGUGCGAAAGCAGGUCAUAGUGAUCCGGUGGUUCUGAAUGGAAGGGCCAUCGCUCAACGGAUAAAAGGUACUCCGGGGAUAACAGGCUGAUACCGCCCAAGAGUUCAUAUCGACGGCGGUGUUUGGCACCUCGAUGUCGGCUCAUCACAUCCUGGGGCUGAAGUAGGUCCCAAGGGUAUGGCUGUUCGCCAUUUAAAGUGGUACGCGAGCUGGGUUUAGAACGUCGUGAGACAGUUCGGUCCCUAUCUGCCGUGGGCGCUGGAGAACUGAGGGGGGCUGCUCCUAGUACGAGAGGACCGGAGUGGACGCAUCACUGGUGUUCGGGUUGUCAUGCCAAUGGCACUGCCCGGUAGCUAAAUGCGGAAGAGAUAAGUGCUGAAAGCAUCUAAGCACGAAACUUGCCCCGAGAUGAGUUCUCCCUGAGACUAUAAGUCUCCUGAAGGAACGUUGAAGACGACGACGUUGAUAGGCCGGGUGUGUAAGCGCAGCGAUGCGUUGAGCUAACCGGUACUAAUGAACCGUGAGGCUUAACCUUACAACGCCGAAG
rnacentral:rRNA from 1 species